AGUGAACGCUGGCGGUAGGCCUAACACAUGCAAGUCGAACGGCAGCACAGUAAGAGCUUGCUCUUACGGGUGGCGAGUGGCGGACGGGUGAGGAAUACAUCGGAAUCUACUUUUUCGUGGGGGAUAACGUAGGGAAACUUACGCUAAUACCGCAUACGACCUACGGGUGAAAGCAGGGGAUCUUCGGACCUUGCGCGAUUGAAUGAGCCGAUGUCGGAUUAGCUAGUUGGCGGGGUAAAGGCCCACCAAGGCGACGAUCCGUAGCUGGUCUGUGAGGAUGAUCAGCCACACUGGAACUGAGACACGGUCCAGACUCCUACGGGAGGCAGCAGUGGGGAAUAUUGGACAAUGGGCGCAAGCCUGAUCCAGCCAUACCGCGUGUGUGAAGAAGGCCUUCGGGUUGUAAAGCACUUUUGUUGGGAAAGAAAAGCAGCAGGUUAAUACCCCGCUGUUCUGACGGUACCCAAAGAAUAAGCACCGGCUAACUUCGUG
rnacentral:rRNA from 1 species